UUUCCGUAGGUGAACCUGCGGAAGGAUCAUUCAUAAUAAAGUGUUUUAUGGCGCUUUUUAAAAAUCCAUAUCCACCUUGUGUGCAAUGUUAGAUCACGUCAAUCGUGGCGAGAUUUUUAUACAUCAACUCAUUCUUUAACUAAUUUGUCUGAAAAAUAUUAUGAAUACUUAAUUCAAGAUACAACUUUCAACAACGGAUCUCUUGGCUCUC
rnacentral:misc_RNA from 1 species